CAGUCGCCGCGGUAAUACGGAGGGAGCUAGCGUUAUUCGGAAUUACUGGGCGUAAAGCGCACGUAGGCGGCUUUGUAAGUAAGAGGUGAAAGCCCGGAGCUCAACUCCGGAACUGCCUUUUAGACUGCAUCGCUUGAAUCCAGGAGAGGUGAGUGGAAUUCCGAGUGUAGAGGUGAAAUUCGUAGAUAUUCGGAAGAACACCAGUGGUGAAGGCGGCUCACUGGACUGGUAUUGACGCUGAGGUGCGAAAGCGUGGGGAGCAAACAGGAUUAGAUACCCCGGUAGUCCCUGUCUCUUAUAC
rnacentral:rRNA from 1 species